GUUAUUGUAUUUUAAUUUGCAUAUGACCACUAUGUCUAAAAAAAUUAGCCCGGGCAAAGAGCAUAAAUGUCGCCCUAUCAACCCUCUUUAUUUAAGAGCUUUAAGAAAGAGGUGUCAGAAAAAUUACCACAGGCAUAACUGGCUUGUGGCGGCCAAGCGUUGCUUUUUGAUCCUUCGAUGUAGGCAGCCCUAGU
rnacentral:rRNA from 1 species